UAACGCGUGAGGAACCUGCCUUUCAGAGGGGGACAACAGUUGGAAACGACUGCUAAUACCGCAUGACGCAUUUUGAUCGCAUGGUCGAAAUGCCAAAGAUUUAUCGCUGAAAGAUGGCCUCGCGUCUGAUUAGCUAGUUGGUGAGGUAACGGCCCACCAAGGCGACGAUCAGUAGCCGGACUGAGAGGUUGACCGGCCACAUUGGGACUGAGAUACGGCCCAGACUCCUACGGGNGGCAGCAGUGGGGAAUAUUGGGCAAUGGGCGCAAGCCUGACCCAGCAACGCCGCGUGAAGGAAGAAGGCUUUCGGGUUGUAAACUUCUUUUAAGUGGGAAGAGUAGAAGACGGUACCACUUGAAUAAGCCACGGCUAAAUACGUGCCAGCAGCCGCGGUAAUACGUAUGGUGCAAGCGUUAUCCGGAUUUACUGGGUGUAAAGGGAGCGUAGACGGCUGUGUAAGUCUGAAGUGAAAGCCCGGGGCUCAACCCCGGGACUGCUUUGGAAACUAUGUAGCUAGAGUGUCGGAGAGGUAAGUGGAAUUCCCAGUGUAGCGGUGAAAUGCGUAGAUAUUGGGAGGAACACCAGUGGCGAAGGCGGCUUACUGGACGAUGACUGACGUUGAGGCUCGAAAGCGUGGGGAGCAAACAGGAUUAGAUACCCUGGUAGUCCACGCCGUAAAACGAUGACUACUAGGUGU
rnacentral:rRNA from 1 species